rnacentral:rRNA from 1 species
AAUGGCUCAUUAAAUCAGUUAUCGUUUAUUUGAUAGUACCUACCCACUACUUGGAUAACCGUGGUAAUUCUAGAGCUAAUACAUGCUAAAAACCCCGACUUCGGGAGGGGUGUAUUUAUUAGAUAAAAAACCAAUGCCCCUCGGGGCUCCUUGGUGAUUCAUGAUAACUUAACGGAUCGCAUGGCCUUGCGCCGGCGACGGUUCAUUCAAAUUUCUGCCCUAUCAACUUUCGAUGGUAAGGUAUUGGCUUACCAUGGUUUCAACGGGUAACGGGGAAUUAGGGUUCGAUUCCGGAGAGGGAGCCUGAGAAACGGCUACCACAUCCAAGGAAGGCAGCAGGCGCGCAAAUUACCCAAUCCCGACACGGGGAGGUAGUGACAAUAAAUACUGAUACAGGGCUCUUUUGGGUCUUGUAAUCGGAAUGAGUACAAUUUAAACCCCUUAACGAGGAACAAUUGGAGGGCAAGUCUGGUGGACAUUCGGCUCCCAUUCUGCUGACGCCAGAGAUAGUCGGGCACCAACAGGUGUUAUGCCGGCUAGUCGAGUACCCGCCAAUUGAUGGGAGGGUACCGGCAAGACAACCUGGAUCGGGGAAGGCUAAGGCACUCUGGUGCUAUGCUAAUCCCGAGCAGAGUCCCUGCGGAGAGAUCUGUGGGUGACCUGUGUAGAGCGCGGAAAGGUGUCGGCCAGCUCAAAGAGCUGGCUUGAGGGACGUGCCAUUCCCACCCGAAAGGGUGGCUGCCAGCAUAAGCGCCCAUCACGCAAGGGCUGGUAGGCUCGAACGCCUGUGAGGGAUGUUCGUGUGUAGUAUUAAAAGGCCAGCAGCCGCGGUAAUUCCAGCUCCAAUAGCGUAUAUUAAAGUUGUUGCAGUUAAAAAGCUCGUAGUUGAACCUUGGGCCUGGCUGGCCGGUCCGCCUCACCGCGUGUACUGGUCCGGCCGGGCCUUUCCUUCUGGAGAGCCGCAUGCCCUUCACUGGGUGUGUCGGGGAACCAGGACUUUUACUUUGAAAAAAUUAGAGUGUUCAAAGCAGGCCUUUGCUCGAAUACGUUAGCAUGGAAUAAUAGAAUAGGACGUGCGGUCCUAUUUUGUUGGUUUCUAGGACCGCCGUAAUGAUUAAUAGGGAUAGUCGGGGGCAUCAGUAUUCAAUUGUCAGAGGUGAAAUUCUUGGAUUUAUUGAAGACUAACUACUGCGAAAGCAUUUGCCAAGGAUGUUUUCAUUAAUCAGUGAACGAAAGUUAGGGGAUCGAAGACGAUCAGAUACCGUCGUAGUCUUAACCGUAAACUAUGCCGACUAGGGAUCGGGCGAUGUUUCUAUCUUGACUCGCUCGGCACCU